AUUGUAAGCAUUAUUUGCCAUAUUAAGGAAUCUCAGAUAAAAUAGUUAUAUUUACAGUUUAGAGAAAGUGUAGUGGAUGAAAGCUAUUUUAUUGGCCCUGUGCGACAAGUUUUUACACGAAAAAUCGAACCAGUGUAUGGUUAUUGUAAAAAUCGAAACUUUGUGCUGUACCGGAGUAUAGCACGUGAAAAAAUCCCUCGAGGCCCAGGACACUAUCCUUCAAGAGAAGGUGCUAGUGUAGGGCGUAGGAAAUAGCGACUAGCCACGCUGUUUCUAGGGACCGGUCAGAAGCCCGGCGGCUUGUAGGCCCGCCUCGUCGUCGAGCCCGCAUCGGACCCUCGCGCGCCCUGGGCCAUAGGUAAUCCACGCCUCCAGGGAGAUUCGACCGUAUUUUAUCGAAUCGCCCGGACAUUGGCCUCGAAGGGAACCCGGAGAUCGAGAACGGUAUCGACCACAACCACGAACCACGAAUUUGGGUUACGGCACCGAAGCCGCUGCUAUCAACGGCCACUGGAGGCGCUGAUGAGGACUCGCUAUCACGUCACUGCGCAGAAACUGACAGCAUAACCAGCGACCGAUCUCGCCUCGCCACCCUGCUAUCAACCACGUCGAGGUUGAUCUGUCGUCCAAGCUGGUGGAUUCGGUAGCGUAAUACACCGUCGCAUGAUUCCUGAGUCGCAAGAGAGAGAGAUCAGCCUCUGAUAGCCGUCGUCGAGCCCGUGGGCACCAGGUGCUGCAAACAGGUCAGAUCAUUUCAAUUUUUCCAACAUUCGUUCGCAAAGUACAUUGAUUGUAAGAAGAGACAUAGCCAGGUCAAAGAGCGUGCACGCAGUAGUUAGAAGCAUGUUAGGUUUACGGAACUGAGAAAUAUGAAUAUAGAUAUGAACUAAAGCACAAUAGAGCCAAAUUAGAGUCGAAAGAAAAAGUAUUCUUGGUCUUGGUUAAUCGGAUUUUUCGUCAAAUAAUCGCCCGUUGUUAUCCUUUUUGAAGGAGUGAGAUUGAGACUAACAGUUGUUACGCGAUUGGUUCGGGAUUGAUCUUUAUAGCAUUAGGACUCGCCUUGAGGAGUCUUGCCGGGAAAACUCGUGCUGAUCCACA